rnacentral:rRNA from 1 species
GAUUUGUUUCAAUGUGAAUCAAUGUGUUAAUAAUUAUAUUAAUAAGAGGUAUUUAUUAUUAAAGUGUUUUAGUUACUAAAUUAAAUAAUUCAUGGAUUAUUUCCUGUAAGGAAAGUAUGGUUUUAUAAGUAAAUUAAAUUUUUAUUGUACCUUUUGUAUCAGGGUUGAUUAAUAUAUUAUUAAGUCUUUUUAUAUCCCGAAAGAAGAGGAGUUAAGUGGUAAAAGUUAAGUUAUUGUAGUAAUAAUAUUUAGAAUUUUCAUUUUGAGUUGAAAUUAAAAUCGUUUUUUUUGAUAUCUGGUUACUAAAUAAUUGAGUUUAAUUCGUUAAUAAUUAAUAUUUAAUAUUUUUUUAUAAUUUUUAAGUGUUAUUAUUGUUUAUUUUGGGGGUUAAUCUUCAAAAUUAUUUAUAAUUUAUUGUUUAUUUAGAAAAUUUAGUAGGUUUAGAAGUUGUCAUCUUAAAAAUGUUUUAUAACUGAAUUUUUAAUUGAAUUUAUUUGUUUUAUAUUUAAUGUAUUUAUUUAGUUAUUAAUUAAAAUUUAUACAAUUAAUUAAUUAUGAUUGAAUUAGUAAAUUUGUAUUUUAUUAUCAAAGAAUUCGGCAAAUGGAAGUACCUGCCUGUUUAACAAAAACAUGUCCUUUAGUCUUGUAUUUAAGGUUUAACCUGCCCUAUGAUUAUUAUUAAAUGGCUGCGGUAUUUUGACCGUGCAAAGGUAGCAUAAUAAUUAGUUUUUUAAAUGGAAACUUGAAUGAAAGGUUGCACAAGGUAUUAACUUUUUUGUUUAAUAUCAAUUGAAUUUAAUAUUUAAGUUAAAAAGCUUAAAUAUUUUAAUAGGACGAGAAGACCCUAUAGAGCUUGAAAAAUAGGUUAGUUAUUUAAAUUUGGAAUAUUAAUAAUUAAUAAUUAAGUUAUUUUUUUGGUUGGGGUGAUUUUUAAAUUUUUUUAACUUUUAUUAUUUUAUUCAAUGAUUUUUGAUUGGUCAUUUGAUCUUGUAUUAUGCAUUAAUAGAUUAAGCUACCUUAGGGAUAACAGCGAUAUUUAUUUGUAGAGUUCUUAUCGAUAAAUAAGAUUUCGACCUCGAUGUUGGAUUAAGAAAAAUAAUAGGUGUAUCAACUUAUUUAUUAGGUCUGUUCGACCUUUAAAAUCUUACAUGAUCUGAGUUCAGACCGGCGUGAGCCAGGUCGGUUUCUAUCCUUUAAUAGGAUUUAUUUGUUAGUACGAAAGGACCAUGAAUAGAAAAUAAAUUUUAUUAAU